rnacentral:sRNA from 1 species
UUUGUUACUUUUAACGCAUCAGGUGGAC